rnacentral:tRNA from 1 species
UAGGAUGUAGUGUAAUGGAAGCACGGAGAGUUUUGAGUUCUUUAGUGUAAGUUCAAGUCUUACUGUCCUAG